GGAUAUCCCAGUUGGAAGAGCAUGAGACUCUUAAUCUCAGGUUCAGUGGUUCAAGCCCCACAUUGGGCA